rnacentral:lncRNA from 1 species
AUUCACUGCCUUUUCUUUCUCUUUCCUCCUUCCUCUCCUUUUCUUCUAGUCUCUGGUCUGGUUGUCUCGACCUCUGUCUGUGACUACCGUGUGCUUCCUCCUCUCUCCCUAUACCUUCAUCCUCCUCUGUGUGUCACCCUCAUUCCCUGUGUUUCUCUUGUUGACAUGUCUGUAUCUCCUGCCUCUGGCUUUUGAGGUUUUUAGGUUUCCAUUCCUCCCUCUUGCAGCUAUCUUCUUUCUUUGCUUCAUAUAUAAGAUUUCAAUGUCACCGAAUGGAGAAGAUCAGUUGACUUUAAUCUGUUUUGUUGUUGCUGCUGCAUAGUCAGCAGCAGUUCCUGGUUGCAUUUAAUUUUUGUUAAAUCUGUUCUCCCUCAAACUGGUAGAUAAGGAGUUAUGAUCUUAAGGUUAUAUAUUUUAAGUAAACAGACUAAUUUUAGUCUUAGUUCAUUCUUUUAAAUUUAUUUAUUAUUAUAUGUAAGUACACUGUAGCUGUCUUCAGACACCCCAGAAGAGAGCAUCAGAUCUCAUUACAGAUGGUUGUGAGCCACCACGUGGUUGCUGGGAUUUGAACUCAGGACCUUCGUAAGAGCAGUCCAUGCUCUUACCCACUGAGCCAUCUCUCCAGCCCUUAGUUUAUUUUUUUAGAGCUUCAUGCUUGAAGCAUUGUAAUUAAAUUGAAGUUAUCACAUAUUAAAUAUUUUUAAAUACUUUGUCUUCCCAAGUUGUACAUGGGUAGAUCAUUACGAGACAGGUUUCUUUUCGUAAGAGUUUUUUUUUUUUUUUCCCUAUUAAAAUUUCAGGUUCAUAGGAAUUGAAAGGAAUUCAAAAUCAAGACACUUUAGUUAUUUCUCUCUUUAUAAUUGUGCUGUCGGUUAUGAAUAAAUUUGUAUUUAUUUAAUACUCCUAAGGCCUUUUAUGUCAUUACUUUUCAAAUGUGUCAUGGUAGACUUAAUAUGCUCACAUUUUCUAACUUGUGAUUUGUAUUUUGAAGUAACUAUAGAUUCAGGGGAUAUUACAGAAAUAAAUAGUACAGAGAAGUUUCCUGGUAGGUUUUGUUUGUUUUAAAUAGAUUUUGUUUUUGUUUUGCUUUCUUUUGCUUUGUUAGUAAGGAAUGAACCCCAGACCUUGUACAAGCUAGGCAAAGUACUCUGCCAUUGACCUUUAUCUUCAGGCAUUUUAAAAUUAUUUUUUAGCCAGAGUCUUGCUGAGUUGCAUAAACUACUUCAUUAUUACUCGAUAGCAUCUACCCAGUAAAUACAAGAUCCUUCCUGAGUCUCCACAGUAGCUAUCAUAUGAGUACACUGUAACAGGAAAACACAAGAUGCUUUAAAGUCUUGACACUUUAAAAGUGAUAUCCUCAAGAUUUUGUAACGAGUUUUUAAAAUACCCUAAAGCACAAGAGUUCACUUCCCAUUUACCUAAAUACAAAAAUCCUAAAUCUUUUAAACCUUGCAAUAGUCCUAUUUCCAUUAAAAGCAAAUUAAGACGACUUGUUGAAAUAUUCUAUGUAUUAACAGUACCAUGAUGGUUUUAUAACUAGUAUAAUCUUACCACAAAAGGAAAUGCGUGAAGUUUUCUGUACAUGUAUUCCUAUGUGUGUUCAAGAAACAGAUAUAGAAAUUGAAUUUUUUCAGAGUUAAAUUAAAUGCUGUUUUUACAUAUAUACUUCCUGCCCCCAUAAAAUGUAGCAAUUAUUACUUCUACAUUGUUUUGAUGACUCUAAUGUUUUAUUACUGUCUCUGGUAUGUGAUUGUUGUGGGCAAUAUAAGGUGAAGUUAGAACCCUACUUCCAAUUGUCUCUAUAAGCCUCUGUAGCUAAUCAGUAUUCAUUUUAAUUGAUCUGUGUUAAUUUUGGUACAGAAUACAGCCUGACCAUUCCUAAUCCCCAACUCCAAAAUGCUAAAUAAUCUUUCUGAAUGGCAAAAUGGUGCCACAUAAAAUAUAUUCUGCGACUCAUCUUAUGUCAAAGUCAAAAUGAAGACACACCAAAAAUAUAAAUAAAACUGCCUCCAGGUCAGAAAGAUAGUGUCUUAGUUAGGCUUUUACUGCUCUGAACAGACACCAUGACCAAGGCAAGUCUUAGGACAACAUUUAAUUGGGGCUGGCUUACAGAUUCAGAAGUUCAGUGAAUUAUCAUCAAGGCAGGACCUGGCAGCAUCCAGGCAGACUUGGUGCAUGAGGAGGUGAGAGUAAUAUAUCUUCCUCUGAAAGCUGCGAACAGAAUAUUGGCUUCCAGGCAGCUAGUGUGAGGGUCUUAAAGCUCACAUCCACAAUGACACACCUACUCCAACAUGGCCACAGCUACCUUAACAAAGCCAUACCUUCUAAUAGUGCCACUCCCUGGGCUGAGCAUAUGAAAACCAUCACAGAUAGAUAGAUAGAUAGAUAGAUAGAUAGAUAGAUAGAUAGAUAGAUAGAUAGAUAGAUAGAUGUGUGUGUGUGAAUGGUUGGUUGUUGGUUGGAUACACACAUAUAUCCACAUGCAUAUGCAAAUGUGAUUUUAAUAAAUUAUGUGUGUGUGUUCCUGCCUGUCUGUAUAUGCACCAUGUGUGUUCAGGUGUUCAACAAGGCCAGAAGAGGGUGUUAGAGCCCCAGAAGUUGGAAUAACAGGUAAUCAUGAGUCACUUGAUAUGGAUGCUGAGAACUGACCUUAGGUCCUAUGCAAGAGCAGCAAAUAUUCUAAACGUCUAAGCCUAAACUAUGUCUCCAAGUCUAAAAUAUGUUAAAUAUGUUUU